rnacentral:rRNA from 1 species
GCACGAGAAAGGGAGCAAUCCCAAGUAAAGUGGCGUACGGGUGAGUAACACGUGGAUCAUCUACCUUCUGGUGGGGAAUACCCCCGGGAAACUGGGGACAAUUCCGCAUAAGUCCGAGAGGAGAAAGCAGCAAUGCGCCGGAAGAGGAGUCCGCGGCUGAUUAGCUUGUUGGCGGGGUAACAGCCCACCAAGGCGAAGAUCGGUAGCCGGCCUGAGAGGGCACACGGCCACACUGGCACUGAAACACGGGCCAGACUCCUACGGGAGGCAGCAGUGGGGAAUUUUGCGCAAUGGGGGAAACCCUGACGCAGCAACGCCGCGUGGAGGAUGAAGCCCUUUGGGGCGUAAACUCCUUUCGACCGGGAAGAUACUGACGGUACCGGUGGAAGAAGCACCGGCUAACUCUGUG